ACUAAACUCUUAUAUAUAUAUAUAUAUAUAUAUAUAUAUAAUAAUAUAUAUUUUUAAAAUUCUAAGAUGUUGUAAUCAUAGUUAGUUAAUUCGGAUUCGACAAAAAUUUGGUACAGGUAUAAUAUGCAUAAAAUUCGUAUAUCAAUUUUUAAAUUCGUUGAAAAAUGCGAUUUUAAAAACGGAUUCGUCAAUUAUUCGGAUACGCGAUUUAGACGAAAAUUAUACAUUUACCAAUUAAUAAUUCAGGAUCAAAAAUUCGGUUAUCAAACUAAAUUUUUUUUUCUAGAUUUAUGCAACUAGCAUAUAUAAUUAUAAAUUCUUAAGAAUAUAAAAAAAAAAAAAGCUACAAAAUAAAGUAGAUUAAGUAAAAAAAAUAAUAGCAAAUUUUAUCAUCGUCUUCAUCUUCAUCUUUUUUAUGAUCCACAUUUUUUAGAAGUUUGUGAAAUUUUUUAAUAAUUCGCGAAUAAUUCGGUAAUAAUUCGAAAAGAAAUUUUAUUUAAAAAAAUUAUGCGUUUUUUUGGCCAAAUAAUUCGGCAUACGCGGAUUAUUCACGAAUAAUAAAUAUAACCGCCUCCGUUUGGUUCGGGGUUAAGGAAAAGUAGCUAUUCCAGGGAUAGAGUUAAGUUCAGGGUUAAAAUGAGGUUAAAAUUUUUUUGUGUUUGGUUGGUGGUUGGAGUUAGUCUAGAAUAAUAAAAAAUAGUGUUUGGUUGGAGUAGCUGGGAUAAAAAGAUAAUGAUUGAUAAAGAAGGAUAAUAAUUGGUUGGAAUAGAUGGGAUAAGAAAAAUAGUGGGUUAUUAUGAAUAAAAAAUAGUGUUUGGUUGGAGUUUGGUGGGAUUAGGUGGGAUUAGCUAACCCGAAAUAAUUUAUUUAAGGUGGGAUUAACUAACCGCACUCAUUUUUUAGAGUGUUUGGAAAUAAUAUAGGGGUUAAGGAUUAUUCCACCCCUUAACCCUCAACCAAACAAGGGAAAAAACUAGCAUAUUAUUUUA
rnacentral:lncRNA from 1 species